CUCUUAAUCGGACCGCGUAUGUAUUAAAUAGCACCUAAAUGGCUAAGUGAACGGUAAAAGACUAUGCUUUUUCUGAAAAUCACCCACACAUGAUAGAAACUGCCGCACGGGUGCUUGGAGGUGUUCCACUGAUUGGUCCUACUUCUUUGCUUUCUGUCUGUUCAUUGUUCCUGUCUGCCUUGUUUUCCUCCAGCUCUAAACCAAUUAAAAGACCAGUAUCAAGUUCAUGAGCUUCUCUUUACACAAAACAAAAACAAAACAAAAACGGAACAGCGUUGAAUUAAGCUGGUUGAAAGACUCCUGCUGCGAGAUCUAACAGCAGAACGAAGAAGGUGUAGAACAACACAUUACACAUGACUCCUUGUACUUAGUGACCUAGUUAGUGUGUUGUUUUUUUAUAACUAUCGUUUUCGAAGCACGGCUAAGCUUAAGUCUUAGCUUGCGAAAAUGUCAGCUGCACCUUUUCCUUCAGCGCAGAUAAAGAAAGAUAAUAAUAUACGUACUUGUUUGAAAUCAUAGUCUCUGUCUUUUUCACAGCGCUCUGACUCCUAAAGUGAACACACCCAGCCUCAGAAGCUGUAAUUAACGGUGCACAUUUUAGUCUACUCUGAACGAAUCUCUAACCAUGUUGAGGUCAUAUCUACUCCUUUUCGUCACAUUUGUUUUGUAUAUUGCAGUUGUGGUGGCACCUAACCCAUUCUUCUUGGACAAAGUAUUCAAUGCUUGUACUGACAUCUGGAGUAACUGCAAAGAUCAAAACCCCGACGACUGUGAGGACGACACAGUUUUGACUUUCAACUGCCCAAGUACUUGCUCGAGAGCUUGUAACGGCAGAUAGCGGCACAGAAAAGGGGGCGUCUGAGCAGAGCAUUUGUCAGGGCAUCUAGACCAGAGCACUCGCCAAGCUAUCUGUGUGGAUGUGUUCACGUCAUCAUGACGCGAUAUUUGACAUGACACCGGUUUACACACUCUGUUCACGCAUUGACUGUUCUUGUAUCUCUCGUUAUUUCCAGUUAUCACUAAAAAUACAUUGAUAACGUU